GAAAGAGGGGAAUAGGGUUCAGAAAAUGUGACCUUUGGAAUCAAAUCCGCAGCUUCUUCUUCGUGACUGAUGGCGAAAUUCUCCGAUCCAAAUCCGGCCACCGCAAACACCAGCUUCGACCGAUAACUACCUUGUUGUUGAUGAUGCAGUGAAGACUAAUCGCGAAGGCGAUUGAUGAUGUUGAAGUUUGGAGCGCAUAGGUAGUGAAGAUGGUGAUUGUUCAGAGAUGAGUGUCCGCUCGGAGCUAUGGGCGAAGUAACACGAGAGCUCGGUGAAGUUCUUCAGGUAAACUCUGAGAUUCUCUCUUUCUUUCUUGUUCAACUCUUCUUCUUUUACUUUGAGCUUCUGUUGAUUGUUGUUCUGUGAUUCGUUGUUGUAUUGAUAUUGUUGCAGUUGAAGCUGAUGCGAAGAUGAUGAUGUUGCUUGAAGAACGUUGUUGAAGAUGAGUGAAGGUGAUUGAAGCUGAUAGAGAAUGGGAGAAAAGAGGCAGAGCAAAGGCAGAAUGGUGGAAGAGGUGGAGACUCAGAGGAGGUUUGAAGUGAUGAAGAUCAGAAAGGAUUGAGGAAGUGGAGAAGAUUGUGUGAAGAGUGAAGAAUUGAAGAUGAUGGUGUUCUGCUGAGAAAGUGAAGAAGAUGAAAGUGAGUUGUGGAGAAUGCAAACAGAGUGGUGAAGGGAGAAUGAAAGUGAAGAGAGCAAAAAUGGUGGAGGAGAUCAAUGAAGAAGGGAUUGAGGAUUAUAUAUAGAAGCUAAAGUGGCUUGACGGACUCGUUGAAGCGUUAACAUUGACCGAAGAUGCAUCCUCAAUUGAAUUUGUUCCAUUUGAAAUGAUGUUACCAGAGAGGUUUGAGGACCGGUUUCUUAUAAUUGCAAGGCUCCUGCUUCAGUAGGUUAUGGCAGGGUUGAUUUUGGUUUGUAGUCAAGUUGAACAAGAGUAAAUGGCUGCCCUUUUUAACUAGUUAGGUCAUGAUGAAGAUGAAGUGGAUUAGCUUGGAGGAUUGAAGAAAUGAAGAGAAAUAGGUUUAGGAUGUAGUGAAUAGAAAGUCAAAAGACCAAUGGUUACAAAUUUGUAAUAAUAAUUUCCUGUACUUUCCCUUUUUCAUGUAAUUUCACUUUAUAGUUGAAUACUCCUUGAAUAUGUUGACUUGUGAUUCAUAGAUGGACCUUCAAAUAAAUGCAUAAUUAGGUACUUGAGAAUAGGCAUUUGGUCCUCGGAUUCUGUGUAAUGUUGCUUGUAUAAUCUUCAUGAAUAUUUUGAGCUUGAAAUAUAAUGUGGGCUUUUCUCUUCACAUUCAAAUAAAAUUUGAAUAAUUCUUUUUCCAAACUAUGGCCCAAAAUAAAUCGUUCCUUAAGCAAGCAACAUAAGAAACUCAAUC